AUAAUGAAAUUAUCGAUUGUUAAUAAUAAUUACGUUUAUCCAUAAUUCAACGUUAUAAGUAUAAAAUAAAUAUAGAUCUAUUUCCAAACAAGUGAUAUCGUUGAGAAAGUUACACCUUUUUUAUUAGGAGUAUUUCAUAUUAUAUUUUCGACAAUGAAAUAAUUGGUUAUUUAGAGGUAUUGGCUAUGUGUGAAUCGGAUUCGUAGAUUAUUAUUUGUCAAAAAUUGAAAACCUUGUAUGUAAGUAACCUGUUGUAGGAGGUUGUAGAAAAAUAAUUACUUCGUUGUUUUCUCUAGGAAAAAGUCAACCACAGACAACUCUUAUAACAGCGAGGAGUCCAUUUCCCCUUUUCCAACUAGAUUUGUUCAAGUUUCGGGAAGUGAUGAUGUUCGUCCAAUGUGUAGUGGAGAUGUCUCUGCCGUAGCUUCAUCCAUUGAAAUUGUGGAAACCACUGUCAAUACUUCCCAGAGUUUGUAUACAGGUGUAUCUCUACAGGGGCAACGUUUGGCAGAUAUUGGAUAUUUAUUAACGCAAAUCGCAGAAAUAUCGAAGCAUCCACCAUUCGAUUGUACAUUCAGUGAUAUGUAUCCAAUUCAUGAAUAUAAAAUGGGUUUGAAAACCAAAAUCAGUUUUGUAUGCAAAAUGUGCAAUAUUGAAAGAACCAUUCAUCUCAUAGAAGAAACCGAUGGGGAAAUGGACAUAAAUAGCGUUUUAGCGUUGGCCACAGUUUCAACCGGAAGUGGAUACUCUACAAUCAACGAGAUGCUCUCUGUUUUGAAUGUGUACCGUUCAUGAGUAACUCUACUUAUCAGCAACACCACGAAAAUGUAGCUGAUAUCAUUGAAGAGACUGCUUGGAAGGUCAUGGAGGAAGCAGGUCAAGAAGAGGCUCGAAUAGCUCAAGAACUAGGAGAGGUCGAUGAAAGCGGUAUUCCAAUGAUUACCGUUGUAGCUGACGGGGUUUGGAGUAAAAGAUCAUACUCCGUAAAUUAUAAUGCAUCUUCAGGCGUAGUAGGCCUGUAUAAUUGGUGCUAGAACGAAAAAAAGUUUAUUCCUGGGCGUUAGAAAUAAGUUUUGUGCCGUGUGCUCGCGUUCCGCAGUACAUGAGAAUAUUCCUUUACCUGAAAACAAAUGCUACAAAAAUUGGAGUGAAUCAUCAACCAGUAUGGAAUCCGAUAUCAUAGUUGAGGGUUUCAAACGGAGCAUGCAAAUUGAUUGGAGAUGGUGAUAGCAGUGUUCAUCAAAAACUACUGGAAGCUCGACCUUAUGGAAUACUUAUGAUACAAAAAAUUGAGUGUCGCAAUCAUUUGAUGAGGAAUUUUUCGAAGAAGAUCCGAGAAAUUUGUGGUAUUAAUUUAUUUAUUCAUUCUGACAAUAAAAUGAAGAUAAUAAUCAUAAUUCAAUUUACAGAUAGAAAGCAAAGUAAUUCAAAAAAUUUCAACUAGUUUCCUUAGGCCUCGAGGCCUAAGGAAACUAGUUGAAAGCAAUGCCCGUAGACUACGCACUUCAAUAAAAUCUGCUACGAUGUUCAGGAUUAAAGAAAAAACUUCAUUGGUCCAAAAAGUUGAGAACCUAUGCAAAGAUCUCAAGAAUGUCCCAUCACAUGUAUUUGGACAGCAUGAAAGAUGUCAGGAGAUAUCACAUUUCAAGUGUUCUCCAAGAUUAGAUGGAGUUGAUCAUAUACCCAGCAUGAGAGCAUGUGGUCUAUUGCACGA